CUUUCCUUGAUGACGACUGGCGCACGGGUGAGUAACGCGUAUCCAACCUUCCCAUAACUACGGGAUAACCCGUUGAAAGACGGCCUAAUACCGUAUGACAUAGUUUGCUGACAUCAAAUAACGAUUAAAGGUUUAGCGGUUAUGGAUGGGGAUGCGUCUGAUUAGCUUGUUGGCGGGGUAACGGCCCACCAAGGCGACGAUCAGUAGGGGUUCUGAGAGGAAGGUCCCCCACAUUGGAACUGAGACACGGUCCAAACUCCUACGGAGGCAGCAGCG
rnacentral:rRNA from 1 species